GCGAAAAGGCACCUAAGCUGAUGAUCCUGUUUGCUGCUUUGAAAUUUACUGAGAAAUCUUCCAUUUGAAUCUUUUACACUGAGGGCUGAGUACGCAUUGAAGGAAGCUGCAGGAAACGGCGACUUAUCUAUUGUUGGGCAGAGAAGAACUCCCUGAAAUGCACUCAGCUGAUUAAUUUUAUGUGUCCUCUGCAGCACGGCAGAAAAGCGAAGUCCCACGUGAACGAAGGGAGCCAAAUUAGGGGUCAUCGGGGAGCUGGUGCCUAUCUCCAGCAAUCAUUGGGCAAGAGGCAGGGCAUUCCCUGGACAAGUCAUCAGUCUAUCACAGGGCAACACAGGACAAACAAUCAUGUGCACACACACACACACACACACACACACACACACACA